GUUUGCACUUGUCGGGGAAGGGUGAGAACCUUCGAUUAAGGUUCGACUCGAGCGAAAGCGAGAGAACGUUGCCAACAGCAACGGCCCGUAGGUUGAGGAGCGAAGCGACGAAUAAUCCUUCCCCCACCACCA
rnacentral:sRNA from 1 species